AACCUGUCUCAUAAACGAUGAUCCACGUUUUAUCUUACCUUGUCUUGAAGUUUUAUGUAUAGAACGUCAGCUUGUAUACCGUCGCCGACGGACCACCCUUGAGGGGUUUGAAGUGGUCGGGAAGAGAGAUUGUUAUGAGGGGUAGUUUUAUGCUUGUUUAGUGUAGAGGCUAGCUUUCUUUAUUGUGUUGUAUGCCUAUCUUAGGUGUGUGACUAAGUAAUUUUUCAGGAUGUCAGAUCAAGGUGCAGCUUAUGGGGAGGUGAUGAUGGGUUACAAUAAUUUAUUUAUUAUACGGAUUUUUUACUGUAAUGUAAAAUUUGAAGGUGGACUUGGAUGUAAUGUUGAAUUAGGAAGUCAUAGUGAACUAGGUUUUGAGAUGUGUACAAAUCGCCCGUCGCUCUCGUCGAAAGAUGAGAUAAGUCGUAACAUAGUAGGGGUACCGGAAGGUGUCCCUGGAAUAU
rnacentral:rRNA from 1 species